GGGCUUCAUAGUCUUGCAAUUGGAAUGAGUAGAUUUUAAAUCUCUUUACGAGUAUCAAUUGGAGGGCAAGUCUGGUGCCAGCAGCCGCGGUAAUUCCAGCUCCAAUAGCGUAUAUUAAAGUUGUUGCGGUUAAAAAGCUCGUAGUUGGAUUUCUGCCAAGAACGACCGUCCUACCUUCGGGUUUUGGACCGUGUUGAUCGAGGCAUUCUUCUAGAUUCUAUCUACUCUUAAUUGCUGCAGAAUUGAACUAGAACAUUUACUUUGAGGAAAUUAGAGCGUUUCAAGCAGGC
rnacentral:rRNA from 1 species